AGCCGAAUUAAACACGGAUCUGCGAGACGUACUUCAGCUUUCGUGAGAUCCGCCAGUGUUUUGCAAG
rnacentral:snoRNA from 17 species